AUUUUUAUAAGAGAGGGCGUGCGCGCCCAGUGUCCUCCCUAAGAGUCUCCGCUUAAAGGAGAGCAUGAUGUCUGGGAGAAACUGCAGCCUUUCCCUAAGAAGUCUGAGACACAAGUGUAACCCACAUGCGAAUGGAAGGCGCUGAGAAGGAAAGGGCUGAGAACGGAAGGGGCGCAUGAUCACUGAGGACUCAGCUGUCACGUAGAGUUCUUCAGGAAGGGAUAUGGAAAACUACUGCUGACCUCUAAAGUACUCCCUGUGAAGAAGGGCCAAAGUCAUGCACACCUAGGCCUCAGUGGAUAUUGGCGGUGGAGAGGAAACAGCAGAGGACUCUUGGGUGCAGCCUCACUGCCUGCAGCAGAGAAGAAAGUCCCUCUCUCCCAGUUUCUGAGCAUUGGACUAUGAAAAUCGAAUGGAGAUCUGUGCAGAGACUUCCGCCAGCCUUGACAAGCGUAUAUGGAGAGACCAGGACACGCCAGCCUUGACAAGCGUAUAUGGAGAGGCCAGGACAACAGAGACAGACUGAGAGGAGAGAGCUGCAAGCGUCCACAUUGUCAUGUCUCCUGUGUUAUCCUAACCACUAACCUUGAGAUGGCACCUUGGGCAUCACAGCAUAAAAUGCCACUCACAGGAAUUCACCUGUGACAUAGAGCCCACUAAUGCACUGUGGCACCUCCAAAACUCCAAGCAAACUGGCUAAUUGUUUUUACAACUUUUAAUUUUGUUAUUUUGGAGACAGGCUUUCACAUAGCCCAGGCUGGCCUUGAACUCACUAUGUAGCCAGUAUGUCCUUAAACUCCUGGCCCUCCUGUUGCCACUUCCUAAAUGCUAGAGUUAUAGGCACAUAGGACCAUGAAAUUUUAGAGAUGGUGAUGUCCACUAUAAUCCCAACAUUCAGGAGGCUAAAACUAGCCUGGGCUACACAGCAAAUUCCAGGCUAGGCUGGGCUACAUAAUAUUUUUUCUUGAAAAACAAUGUUUUUUUUAAUCAAACUCCUACAUAUAUUCUAAAUCUUAAGGUGGGCUAAGAAUAUAAAUGCCAAACAAAGCAAAACCAUACGGGGAAACUAAAUAAGAAAUACUCAUAAUUUUGAUGUGGCUGGGGCGUGGGCAUGAUUGAGAACAUGGGAAACAAAUAGCUUAGGCUAAAUUUACAUGUAUGCGUACAUUAAAUGAAAUUAAAUGAAAGAGGAAAUGAGGACUGUAUUGCUUACUUUUUUUUGGACAGGGUUUCUCUGUGUAGCCCUGGCUAUCCUGGAACUCACUUUGUAGACCAG
rnacentral:lncRNA from 1 species